AUACCUUUCUCGGCCUUUUGGCUAAGAUCAAGUGUAGUAUCUGUUCUUAUCAGUUUAAUAUCUGAUAUGUGGUCCAAUGGGCCACACGAUAUUAAAUUACUUUUUUAAGAGGGAGAGGCCACUUCAGUAGCUUGCUACUGGGCCUCUCGUGGGUCGCCUAUGCGUUGCACUGCUGCAUAGGCUGGCGCACCCCAC
rfam:Cicer arietinum chromosome Ca6, whole genome shotgun sequence.